UACAGAGGGGGCAAGCGUUAUUCGGAAUUAUUGGGCGUAAAGGGCGCGUAGGCGGCUUUGCAAGUGACGGGUGAAAUCCCUCGGCUUAACCGAGGAACUGCCUGUCAGACUACAUGGCUCGAGACCAGGAGAGGUGAGUGGAAUUCCCAGUGUAGCGGUGAAAUGCGUAGAUAUUGGGAGGAACACCAGUGGCGAAGGCGGCUCACUGGACUGGUACUGACGCUGAUGCGCGAAAGCGUGGGGAGCAAACAGG
rnacentral:rRNA from 1 species